UACGUAGGGUGCGAGCGUUGUCCGGAAUUAUUGGGCGUAAAGGGCUCGUAGGCGGUCUGUUGCGUCAGGAGUGAAAAACUCGGGGGCUUAACCCCCGAGCCUGCUUCUGAUACGGGCAGACUAGAGGUAUGCAGGGGAGAACGGAAUUCCUGGUGUAGCGGUGAAAUGCGCAGAUAUCAGGAAGAACACCAAUGGCGAAGGCAGCUCUCUGGGACGGUACUGACGCUGAGACGCGAAAGCGUGGGGAGCGAACAGG
rnacentral:rRNA from 1 species